GUGGGGAAUAUUGGACAAUGGGCGAAAGCCUGAUCCAGCCAUGCCGCGUGUGUGAAGAAGGUCUUCGGAUUGUAAAGCACUUUAAGUUGGGAGGAAGGGCAGUAAGUUAAUACCUUGCUGUUUUGACGUUACCAACAGAAUAAGCACCGGCUAACUUCGUGCCAGCAGCCGCGGUAAUACGAAGGGUGCAAGCGUUAAUCGGAAUUACUGGGCGUAAAGCGCGCGUAGGUGGUUUUGUAAGUUGGAGGUGAAAUCCCCGGGCUCAACCUGGGAACUGCUUUCAAAACUGCUGAGCUAGAGUACGGUAGAGGGUGGUGGAAUUUCCUGUGUAGCGGUGAAAUGCGUAGAUAUAGGAAGGAACACCAGUGGCGAAGGCGACCACCUGGACUGAUACUGACACUGAGGUGCGAAAGCGUGGGGAGCAAACAGGAUUAGAUACCCCAGUAGUCC
rnacentral:rRNA from 1 species